AGAGUUUGAUCCUGGCUCAGAUUGAACGCUGGCGGCAUGCCUUACACAUGCAAGUCGAACGGCAGCACGGAGCUUGCUCUGGUGGCGAGUGGCGAACGGGUGAGUAAUAUAUCGGAACGUACCCUAGAGUGGGGGAUAACGUAGCGAAAGUUACGCUAAUACCGCAUACGAUCUAAGGAUGAAAGUGGGGGAUCGCAAGACCUCAUGCUCGUGGAGCGGCCGAUAUCUGAUUAGCUAGUUGGUAGGGUAAAAGCCUACCAAGGCAUCGAUCAGUAGCUGGUCUGAGAGGACGACCAGCCACACUGGAACUGAGACACGGUCCAGACUCCUACGGGAGGCAGCAGUGGGGAAUUUUGGACAAUGGGCGAAAGCCUGAUCCAGCAAUGCCGCGUGAGUGAAGAAGGCCUUCGGGUUGUAAAGCUCUUUUGUCAGGGAAGAAACGGUGAGAGCUAAUAUCUCUUGCUAAUGACGGUACCUGAAGAAUAAGCACCGGCUAACUACGUGCCAGCAGCCGCGGUAAUACGUAGGGCGCAAGCGUUAAUCGGAAUUACUGGGCGUAAAGCGUGCGCAGGCGGUUUUGUAAGUCUGAUGUGAAAUCCCCGGGCUCAACCUGGGAAUUGCAUUGGAGACUGCAAGGCUAGAAUCUGGCAGAGGGGGGUAGAAUUUCCACGUGUAGCAGUGAAAU
rnacentral:rRNA from 1 species